CAGGCCGCCCACAUUUCUGGUCGCAUUCCGAACUGCUGCAUUUCAUUUGACAUCAUCAAAGAAAAUACUCAUCUGCUGGCGAUUCAUCGAGUCUGAGAAAGAAUAAGCUUGCUGAUGC
rnacentral:lncRNA from 1 species